rfam:Ricinus communis cultivar Hale ctg_1100012358033, whole genome shotgun sequence.
AAUCCAUGAUGCGGGCAACAUCGAAGCAAGUCCUUGUACCUCUCCCAGGCAUCAUACAUGCUCUCAUCUUCAAACUGCAUAAAAGAAGAUAUAUCAUUUCUCAAUUU